UUUAAUUUUUAAAUCCCAUAUCAAACCCUAAACGAUACUCUCUCUCUCUCUCUCCACAAUCGGAUUGAAACUGAAGGCCACACUGCUCAGCCGCUGCCUCUCUCCUUUCUUCUCCCUCUGCAGACCACCGAUCAGUGGUAGCUCCGGUGACCAAAUCCCAUCUGGACCACCGCCACCGCCUUUUGCCUUCUCUACAAGUUUUUCACUAUGAAACUCACUAUCAAGCACAUGAAAAUGUUAUAUUAUAAGUAUUUGAUGUAAGCAACUAUUAUGCUAUUGCUCUUGAAGAAGAGAAGACAAGUACUGAGUAAUUCCAAGUUAUUGAAAAGGAAGAAGAGCAAGAGGUUAAUCAUACAUAAAUUAAGUGUAUCAAAUUCUAAUGUCUAACACCAGUGACAACUCCAAUGUCUAACAAUGGUGACUUUCCAGUAAUGAAGACAACUCCGACGAAUUUUUCGAUGAUAAUCUGACAACGAUAACAACUUCAACGAAUAUUUUCAUUCUAUUUUCUACUUUUUUUUGUGGCUAAUAUUUUAUUUUAGUGGGUAAUGACUAUUUUGGAUAGUGUACUGGGUUGAUGAUUAAGUCUUGGAGCUUUUGAGAAGUUUUUACUAAUUUUAUUUUGGUAUUGUAUUUGAUUUGUUCAAUAUUCCAUACAGUAUUUAGAAUACAAGCAUGUAAAAUUUAUUUAUA